UUUGAGGUCUAUCCCGAUGGCACUUUGCUGUAAGUUCAUAUCGUUGGAAACGCCUCAAAGAUUAAACUUGCAGUUAGCUUUGCUUGCUGAAACCUUGUUUUUAGUAGGGUAUUGACUGCAUGACAAUU